rnacentral:rRNA from 1 species
UGGGGAAUAUUGCACAAUGGGCGCAAGCCUGAUGCAGCCAUGCCGCGUGUGUGAAGAAGGCCUUCGGGUUGUAAAGCACUUUCAGCGAGGAGGAAGGUGGUGAACUUAAUACGUUCAUCAAUUGACGUUACUCGCAGAAGAAGCACCGGCUAACUCCGUGCCAGCAGCCGUGGUAAUACGGAGGGUGCAAGCGUUAAUCGGAAUUACUGGGCGUAAAGCGCACGCAGGCGGUUUGUUAAGUCAGAUGUGAAAUCCCCGGGCUCAACCUGGGAACUGCAUUUGAAACUGGCAAGCUAGAGUCUCGUAGAGGGGGGUAGAAUUCCAGGUGUAGCGGUGAAAUGCGUAGAGAUCUGGAGGAAUACCGGUGGCGAAGGCGGCCCCCUGGACGAAGACUGACGCUCAGGUGCGAAAGCGUGGGGAGCAAACAGGAUUAGAUACCCCUGGUAGUCCACGCUGUAAAACGAUGUCGAUUUUGGAGGUUGUGCCCCUUGAGGCGUGGNUUCCGGAGCUAACGNGUUAAAUCGACCG